rnacentral:rRNA from 1 species
UACGUAGGGUGCAAGCGUUGUCCGGAAUUAUUGGGCGUAAAGAGCUCGUAGGCGGUUUGUCGCGUCUGCUGUGAAAACUCGGGGCUUAACUCCGGGCCUGCAGUGGGUACGGGCAGACUAGAGUGCGGUAGGGGAGACUGGAAUUCCUGGUGUAGCGGUGAAAUGCGCAGAUAUCAGGAGGAACACCGGUGGCGAAGGCGGGUCUCUGGGCCGAUACUGACGCUGAGGAGCGAAAGCGUGGGGGGAGCAAACAGG